rnacentral:rRNA from 1 species
UCUUCGGUCAUACCACUCCAUACAUGCUCAAUUUCUUCUGCUCUUGGAAGUUAAGCAAGGUCGGAUCUGAUUAGUACUUAAAUGGUAGAUUGGGAGCACUGAAUGAUGUAAGAA